rnacentral:rRNA from 1 species
GACGAACGCUGGCGGCGUGCUUAACACAUGCAAGUCGAACGGAAAGGCCUGCUUUCCCUUGUGGAUUGCGGGUACUCGAGUGGCGAACGGGUGAGUAACACGUGAGUGAUCUGCCCCCAACUUGGGUAUAAGCCUGGGAAACUGGGUCUAAUUCCCGAUAGGACUGCAGGGUGGUGCCUGUGGUGGAAAACGAUUUUCUAGUGGUUGGGGAUGAGCUCGCGGCCUAUCAGCUUGUUGGUGGGGUAAUGGCCUACCAAGGCGGCGACGGGUAGCCGGCCUGAGAGGGUGGACGGCCACAUUGGGACUGAGAUACGGCCCAGACUCCUACGGGAGGCAGCAGUGGGGAAUAUUGCACAAUGGGCGGAAGCCUGAUGCAGCGACGCCGCGUGGGGGAUGACGGCCUUCGGGGUGUAAACUCCUUUCGACCGCGAGGAAGCCACCUGGUGGGAAGGGUGGUGACGGUAGUGGUAGAAGAAGCACCGGCUAACUACGU